UCUCUUUAUUUAGGCUAUUUGCUUUAUACGAGCUUACAUGUCCUAUAAAUUUAUUAAUAGGACAUACCCUAUUAAUAAACCGCCAUGUUGUGAAACUGAAAGCAAAGCAUCCAGUAAAAAUUCAUGUCUGGGGAGCCAUAUUCCAUCAGGGACCUGGACCGCUAGUUGUGUUAGAAGGAAUUAUGGACAGAUGUUUUUACGAAGACACUAUAAUAAAAUUCAAUCAGGCUCCAUACGUAAAACAACACUUUAAGAACCAUAUCACUUCUUCCAAGGUGUAUCCAAAAAAUCCACUUAAUGGGAGGCUCGCCAGUCCAACUCCACAAUUAGAC